rnacentral:rRNA from 1 species
GACGAACGCUGGCGGCGUGCUUAACACAUGCAAGUCGAACGGAAAGGCCCUGCUUUUGUGGGGUGCUCGAGUGGCGAACGGGUGAGUAACACGUGAGUAACCUGCCCUUUACUUUGUGAUAACUUCAGGAAACUGGGGCUAAUACCGGAUAGGAGCUCCUGCUGCAUGGUGGGGGUUGGAAAGUUUCGGCGGUUGGGGAUGGACUCGCGGCUUAUCAGCUUGUUGGUGGGGUAGUGGCUUACCAAGGCUUUGACGGGUAGCCGGCCUGAGAGGGUGACCGGCCACAUUGGGACUGAGAUACGGCCCAGACUCCUACGGGAGGCAGCAGUGGGGAAUAUUGCACAAUGGGCGGAAGCCUGAUGCAGCAACGCCGCGUGCGGGAUGACGGCCUUCGGGUUGUAAACCGCUUUCGACUGUGACGAAGCGUGAGUGACGGUAAUGGGUAAAGAAGCACCGGCUAACUACGUG